rnacentral:rRNA from 1 species
ACGUAGGUGGCAAGCGUUGUCCGGAUUUACUGGGUGUAAAGGGCGCGUAGGCGGGAUAUCAAGUUAGUCGUGAAAUACCGGGGCUCAACCCCGGGGCUGCGAUUAAAACUGAUAUUCUUGAGUAUCGGAGAGGAAAGCGGAAUUCCUAGUGUAGCGGUGAAAUGCGUAGAUAUUAGGAGGAACACCAGUGGCGAAGGCGGCUUUCUGGACGACAACUGACGCUGAGGCGCGAAAGUGUGGGGAGCAAACAG